AAUAUUAGACAGCCAGGACUGCUAAAAUCUAGUAAGCAAAUAGGAAAGAGAUGGGUGAGUUAAAGACAGCAAAAUAGGGACUGAAAAUAUGUAGGGAAGGUUCUACAAGGCAUUUGAAUGUUACUCAAAAUGGGAAAAAGUUAUAGCCAGAGGGAAGAUGCUGUGAUUUGCCAUGGUUGGGCAGGGUGCCCCUUGGGUUAUGUUUUAAUUUGACUGAUGUUGCCGAAGCCAGAGGGCUGUAGAAUGAAAAGGAGCAUUUUCCCAUGGGAGACAUGGUUCUGGGCAGAUAAAGAAAGGCACGUUUUUUUUUUUCCUUCCCCAGUCUGUUGAGGCACCUCUGUUAGAAAUGCCCUCAGCAGUUCGUCCCCACAUACUGUCAAUCACUGUAAUAACCUUCCCUGCAAAUCCAGCCCCAUUCUAACCUUUUUCUAUAAAUUUACAGUAUUUUUGACGUUUAUAAUCUUCUUUAUAAUUUGAAGGGUAUCCAAAGGAACUGGCUCAGUUGGAAUGUGAUCCAGUAUUAGUAAAUUGUCUUUGCUCUGCUGAUUUAAGCAUUGAUCACCUGGUGGCUAAUAUUUCCUUGAAUGCUGCAUAUUGCUUGGAGGCACAGGUUUCCAGUCUGAUGUACUAAGCUUUGUGUUUUCAAAUUUCCCAUCUUCCAAGUUUUGUUAUUUGCCAUGCUUAUUUUCAGCUUUCUUACCAAAAACAUGCUUGCAUCCUGAGGGUGUUUGCUAGAGAGCUAGCAAGGAGCAUCACUCAGCUAUAAAAGAAAGUCAAACUGGCCAGGGGGGAAAUGGCACAACAUAGAUGGGAUGCCAGCGGAAAAGAGAUACUUGGAGAGCAGAAAGCAAAAGAAAACUACAACAGGCAGAUAGCAAUCAUAUCAAACCCCAAAGGAAUGACCCAAAGGGUUGUGGAAUCGCAGCAGAAGAAUUAAUGAGAUGGAAAAUUUCUCAAGGAAAAAGAGCCAAGUAUAGAUAAAGGAAGAAAUAAACAUCAUAAAGGAAAAAAAAACUCAACAUAGAGAAAGAAAAAAAAUAAAACAAAGCCCAAGAGCAAGGUGAAAGAGUGAAGCAGAAGAGACCUGAAGAAAUGGGCAUUGCAUUAAAGCAAAUGUAUUCCGUUGUCUUUUCUCUUAUCGGUGACUGCCUUCGCAUUGCUCGAGUGGCAAAGCCAACCUGAAAGGAUAAUUUUGUUUAUGUACCCAAUUUGCAUAAUUGUGCAAUAUAAAUUACAAUGCUAAUUAAGGACAGCCCUUGGGCUUCUGGAACUGGGUCAAAGUGUUUCCCUUAGUGCAGAGAGGUUGGGGCAUUGGCUCUGUCCCCUGUCCCACUGCAGGGGAGCCAAGCAAGAGAAAAGAACCUUUCUGAUAGUGUGUGAAUUCUUGUCAGAAUUUGUUGUAGACCGAGAAUUGUAUGUCUCACUCUCAAACUUGGCUUUUCAAAUGGUCUUUGUAUGAACCUGAAAUGAUGUUCCUAAAAUGAAAAAAUUCUCCUAAACGUUCUUGCUUAUCUUUCUAUAAUAUUUCCCCAUCUCAGUUUGAUAAUUUUUUUUUACUUAGGGAACUAAAAUAUGAAAUUGUGAACAAGUGAACAUGAACCUGGCAUACAGUAUUUUCUCACGGAACCCUUGCCAGAUUGUCUGAAACCAGAAUAUGGUAUGCCCUGCUUUGGCCUUCGUGAGGCAGACAGACAGACACCAGGCUCACAUCUGAGCUUCAGUUAAACCAAUAUCAUUAAAAUUAAGUAAACAUUAGAAAUUCAGACCCAGAGUUUUUCUCUUCUACCAUCCCUAAGAAGGGGAUUAUACAGGAGAAGAUUCAUAGAAUAACUGGCUUGGGUCUUUCAAAGUAAGAUAGUCUCUGAGUUCACGUAGUGAAGUUCAAUGGAACACAGUGGAAGGCCUUGGGAAAGGCCUCUCCAGAAACAGUGUUUUGGAGGCUUUGAUAGUCACUGAAUUCUGACCUCAAGCAGAGGUUAUAUGCAAAAUAGGAAAAAAAGCACAUAUCAGUUACUCAAGGAUAAGAAUGAACAAUUGUGUUGUGGAGAAGGCUAAGUAUGGCAUCUAAGGUUUCCACUUUAUUUCUUAUGCCCCAUAGUCUCAAAAGGUAGACUGGUUCUUAAGGGAUUGAUCCCCUACCUAACUUGAUUGGUAGUCUAAUUGAUAAUUAAGACUAAUUAAGAACUCUGGUUGUAUAGACCUGAUUUCAAUUUUAACAUGCUAGGAGUUUCUUUUGUGGGGAUCAUUACAGGAAUAAUUGGAUAUAUGCAGUGUCUUUUCUACCUUUGUGUUAUUUCAUAUUCUUACCAGUGUUCUAGCAACUAUUUUCCAAACAUUUUUAGGCCCACUUACAUAAAGAAAAAUAUAUUUAUUAUAAAUAACACUGGAGUUAUUGGUGUUAGCAGUGAGUCCUUUGAGAGGUGAUUAGGCGAUGGAGCAGUGACCUCAUGAAUGAGAUUAGUGUCCUAAUGAAAGAUGCCCACAGAAUUAAAUGUUACCUUCAUGUGUACAGAUGGACCAGUCUGGGGUUUAAUUCCAUGCCUGACAGCACAGAUUAUUAUUCAUGUAAAAUUUUCUAAAAUGUGUAAAUAGCUCACAUUCAAAAUUUUUUAUAUUUAGCAAGCCCAAAGAAGCUUGCUGUCUCUCUGUAGUGGAUAUGCAUGUCUCUCAGGAAUGUGUGAAGUUCCCAGGAACAUCCUGAUCUCCACUGGUUUUCUGUUUGGAUAUUUUUCUGACAGUUUUACUAAUUUUCCAUUCUCUAAUUGUGUUGACUCUACUAAUCCAUUCAUAAUUGUAUUCAUCAUGCAUUUUUUAGUCUUGAACAGUCACUUACAUUAUGUGCACGUACAUCUGUUAUUUGCUUAUUAAAAAUAUUAACUACCAGGCAGUGUUCAAGACAUUAAGGAAACAAUGGCUACAAGAGAUGAGCUAACGUAAGUGAAACAAAUUCUAAUUUCUGGAAGGAAGGAGCUGGAACAUGCGUGGUUGGCUUUGUUCUUCGUGGAGUGCUGGAAACAUGAGUAAAUUCUGAACUGGCGAGUUUUGGAGUAUUAAGAUGUGUGUUAUAGUUAUAGUAACAGAAAUAAUAGAGAAAGUUUAAGACUGUCAGUGCUGAAGUUCAGUUUCAAGACAUUCCAGUACAACUGCUCAGUCUUUAGGUGAGAGAGAGAAUUGUUUCGGCAACUCAAAACUGGUCAAAAUGCAUUUACACGGUAAACCGCCAGUGGGGAUGCAUAGGGAGUAUUUGAAAGAACACAAAGGACAAGGGAAAAGAAAAACAGGUUUGGGGGUUUACUUUGAUUACCUAGCUCUUGUGUGACUAGGGAAGUUUAAUGUCCCACACCAAAGGGCACUCAUUUAAUCUUGGAGGGAUGUUUUAAGAGGCAAAAUGGUGGGAUGGUAUUUGAAAGUACUCUAACACCUUUUCCUAACUGUGCAAUGUUUUCUGGCAGAAAGGAUUCAGUUUGGAGGUAGUGCCUAAAGCUGACAUGUAGAGAUGAAGAAUGGGAAAGAGAAGCAGUCCUUCCUGCUCCACAAUAAUUAAGAACUGUACUGAAGACUCCCUCCCCCAAGUACGAAAUGAGGAGGGAAGAAAAUAGACUGGAAAUGACUAAACAAGGGGACUGAUCCUGAUUUGGGUAUAAUGUGUUUGUCUUCCUAGAAUCCUUCUCCUGAUAGAAUUGCUUCUUCCAUCCUGCAAUGCUCCAAUUUGAGCACAUCCUCCUCAAUUUUAAUGUGUGCUUAUCUGCCUGUGUUUGUAUCAGAGAAUAAACUAUUUGGUUUUAUCCUUGAUACCUUUAGUACUGACCCAACACAGUGAUGAUGCUUAAUAAAUAUUGAUGAACAUACAUUAAAUAGAAUUGACUAUUAACUUUUAGUAGUUUUCUAAAAAUGGUGCACAGCUAGCUAAACUCAUAAUAAGUCUUUAAAAUUUCAAGUAAGAUUAAACAUUAAUAAGAACUUCAAAAAUGCUCAGUGCUUGCUUAGAGGCAUAGAAACCCAAGAACAUAAUGUAUGUGUUGUUAUACUCCUCAAAGUAAAGACUAUUGAGAUUAUUCAUAGAAGCUGAUGAUGUUAGCCAAUUUCAGCAUGCAUAUAGAAUUUGGAGAGUAAAUGGAAGCCUCGAAGAUCUUGUCCGUGUCAAUUACAUACAUAAUAUGAACUGUUGUACUUACUCAGUGCUUACACAGCACUGAAUGAACAGCUGUGUCAAUCUUGUAGCAAUGUGGUCACCCGACACCUUGUUUUGGUAGCCUAUAGUGGAAAUGAAUUUAGACAUAUGACCCAAUUCUUGACAGUGGAAUCCUCCAGAUGUGCAGCCUGCAGGAACUUUAUUUAAAUAAAAAAAGAAGAAGAAAACAUUUAAGGAACAACGGUCUCUUGGUACCAUUACCAUCAGCCCAGACAAUUAGAUGUCUGGAGGAGCAAUCACCUUGCAAUCAUGGGAUAGGUUUCAAAAAGAAAAAGAAAAAAAAAAACCCACACACAAGAAACCUAGACCUUGCUUCUCAAUUUCUGCGGUAAGCCCAUCAAAAAUCCUGACUUUUGUUUCCUAAAUUUUGUUUAUUUAGUAACUUAACUCAUUCUUUAUUUAUAUAUAUUGUGGGUACACACCCAUGAAUGCAAGCGAUGACGCCCAUGUGGAGGUCCGAGCACAGUCUAUGGAAGUUUGUUCUCCCUUGCCAGCAUGAAGGUUCCACGGAUCCAAUUGACAUCACCAGCCUUGGCGGCAAGCACUCUGCUCUCUCUCUGAGCCAUCGGGCCAGCCCCACACUUUAUGUUUUUAAGUUUUGCUGUCUGCUGGAUUUUCGUGAAAUCAAGCACAAACAUAAUACAUUUUUCGUUUCAUAAAAAGUAAACCUGACUCUGGCAGUCUGUGAGAUCCAUGCAUGGUUCCCAUCCCACUAAAGCAAUGACAUCUCAGCCACAGUACAAAAGAAUUAUCCUGACUGACGUAUGGUAUUUGAAAUAUUUUAUCUGUGUUGUUGGUUUAUUUUUUUUUUCAAUUGUUUGCUGAAACAUGAGUAUCGAGUUCAGAAAAGUUGUCUCAAAGUCAGGAAUGCACUCGUUGUGGACAUUGGCUGAUAAAUGUAGUGAUUUGUGUCUCUGACUUUGGCAAAACCUGAGUGCAAAACAUCUCUCCACAAUACUGACUCAAUUAAUUUUUUUUCUUUCUGGGUGUGAUUUGUAUUGCAGAGGCAAAUCAAGAAACAUCGACAACUUGCUUAAAUCUUGCUCUUUGUCCUAUUUAUAUAAUUUAUUGUGCCAGUGGUUCUGAGGUGGUGGCUCCUGCACCUCCUCACCCAUGAACACAUCCCAGAUGUACUGAAAAUUCCCCACUAAUUUGUGUAUUUCAUUCCAUUCUUUUGUAAUUAAGUGCAUAUGGUUUUGACUAGAAGAAAAAAAACCUAUGUAAUCCCAAAGGGUUUUUUGUCCCUGUGAAUAAUUGAUUCAUGUCUUUCUCAACUCCACCCCUGUUAUUCAAAUAGAUAUUAUGAAAGAAAUCCCUGCUUUGUAAAUUUUGCUGAUCCAGACACGAGAAAGGACAAUCCAUUACUCUCAAGAUUUCUUCAGGAUCUGUGGACCAUUCAAUCUCUUAAAAAAAAAUAUUACCUCAUUAAGAGUCAUAUGAUCAUAGAAGAGGUUUCAUUGCUGUUUUUCAAAACUGAAACUUAGCCUUAACGCAGAAAGCAGCAAUCUCCCUAGUGGUAUUUACCUAAAAAGGUCCUAUCUGCUAUUACUGGAUUUCAGAACUAGAAGCCAGGGCCCUGCCAUCUAGGUUGUGGAAUAGGAGAGAAGUUUAGAUCCUCUUACUGUGUGGGUAGCUAUGAUCAGGUAAGUUGUUUAUCUUUUGUUAAUUACAAUUCAAUGAUUCUUCUUUUUAUGAAUUAUAGUUCACUGUCUCUGAGGAGAGUGUUUGUACCUACGAUUGGGAUAUGCAUGUACAUGUGUGUGAACAUGUAUAUGUUAAAUUCAUUAGCUCAGACACUGCAUAACCGGAAAGAAUGAGAGGAAAUAUUUUUACUGAAGAACUAUAGUUUAGUUCAGGUUCCUGGUGUUCUCACACUACUAAGAAGCAUAAAACAUGGAAGAAAAAAGUAGAUUUGAUUGGUUCUUCUGCAUCUAGGUUUCUUGGUGGAAUCAGAUUUGAGCAGUCUUGUUAUAGGGUGCAUGGAAAUGGAAGAAAAGAUCUCGUGACUGGCUGUGUCUAAUACAUUUUCUGGCACAGACUUUAUAUGUAAUCUACUGUUCACAUUUCAAGUACUUAGUUUCAUAAGUCUAUCAUAUUUGUAAAUCUGUAUUACUAUCAACAAUACCAAGGUGAACAAAUGAGUCCUUUUGUCUCUUUCCAGAAAAUGUCCAACGCCUGUACUGGACCAUUGACUUGCUCUUUAUAACUGUAUCUCUUGUUUACUGUUGUAUUUACUUCAUAUUUAAUGCUCAACCAAACAUCUACUUAUAUACUAUCAUAAAGAGAUAGUUUUCAGGUACAAUUUAUAGUCCUUAAUAUUUUAAGUUUGAGCAACUUUCCCAGGUAAAGAAGUGAACAUUUAGAAAGAAUUAGAGUUAUUCAAAGCCCAGGAGACAUGUUCUUGUUAGUUUUUAAAGAGAAUAAUUCCAAGUUAUAGAGACGUCCAUGUGUCAAGACACCCUACCUAUGCUUUAGGAGCUGAGGGCAACCCCCAGGAAAAAUCACAAGAAAACUGGAACUUCAGUGUCACGGGACAAGGAGUUAAAUUCUUGCAACAAGUGUGUGAACUUAGACAUCUCAUCUGAGUUUCAGAUGACAGUAUAACCCAGGCCUAACCCAGGAUGUAAUGUGGUUACACCUGUGCAGUGAAUUGUUACGUCAUGCCUGGGCUGCCGACUUAUUGAACUCUCACUUAAUAAAUGAACCAAUUUCAUUUUAAGUUGUGAAA